AUCAACUUUCGAUGGUAGGAUAGAGGCCUACCAUGGUGGUAACGGGUAACGGGGUGUUAGGGCACGACACCGGAGAGGGAGCCUGAGAAACGGCUACCACAUCCAAGGAUGGCAGCAGGCGCGCAGACUACCCAAUCCCGACACGGGGAGGUAGUGACAAUAAAUAACAAUACGGGGUCCUUUGGGUCUCGUAAUUGGAAUGAGUACAAUUUAAAUCUCUUAACGAGGAACAAUUGGAGGGCAAGUCUGGUGCCAGCAGCCGCGGUAAUUCCAGCUCCAAUAGCGUAUAUUAAAGUUGUUGCAGUUAAAAAGCUCGUAGUUGAAUUUCGGGAUUAGUAGGUUGGUCGUGCCUCUGGUAUGUACUCGCCUUACUGGUUCCUCCUUCUUGAAGAACUGUAAUGCCAUUAAUUUGGUGUUGCAGGGAAACAGGACUGUUACUUCGAGAAAAUUAGAGUGUUUAAAGCAGGCCAUUGCCUGAAUACAUUAGCAUGGAAUAAUGAAAUAGGACGUUGAUCCUAUUUUGUUGGUUUCUAGGAUUGACGUAAUGAUUAAUAGGGAUAGUUGGGGGCAUUAGUAUUCAAUUGUCAGAGGUGAAAUUCUUGGAUUUAUUGAAGACUAACUACUGCGAAAGCAUUUGCCAAGGAUGUUUUCAUUAAUCAAGAACGAAAGUUAGGGGAUCGAAGACGAUCAGAUACCGUCGUAGUCUUAACCAUAAACUAUGCCGACUAGGGAUCGGAUGAUGUUAAUUUUUUAAUGACUCAUUCGGCGCCUUACGGGAAACCAAAGUGUUUGGGUUC
rnacentral:rRNA from 1 species